rnacentral:rRNA from 1 species
CAGCACCUCAAGUGGUCAGGAUGAUUAUUGGGCCUAAAGCAUCCGUAGCCGGCGCUGUAAGUUUUCGGUUAAAUCUGUACGCUCAACGUACAGGCUGCCGGGAAUACUGCAGCGCUAGGGAGUGGGAGAGGUAGACGGUACUCGGUAGGAAGGGGUAAAAUCCUUUGAUCUAUUGAUGACCACCUGUGGCGAAGGCGGUCUACCAGAACACGUCCGACGGUGAGGGAUGAAAGCUGGGGGAGCAAACCGGAUUAGAUACCCCUGUAGUCC